GUUUAUAUAGUUUACAAAAAACACUACAUUUUCAUUGUAGAGACAAUAUUAUUUUUAUAAAUA
rnacentral:tRNA from 1 species